rnacentral:tRNA from 1 species
AAGCCAUAUUUGUUCGACGUAUGAAUAAAACGAAUAUAACCUGCGGAUAUUCCGAUGCAAUCAAGCGGGAUGUCCGGGAGGGUGUUCUCUCUCUCUUGAAUCGAAGAUGGAGAGAUACAGGAAGAUAAGGAGUCUUUCCCUCCCCCGAGGCCUUGGUUCGUUUAUCUUUCGAGCUUUCCCUGCUUCGAACUUUGCUUCUUUUUUUGAAGCGAGGCAAAAAGGGCAAAAAGAAAAAAAUAAAGAGAGAUAAGGGGCAACGGUCAUGCAGCCCAAGGAGCUGCCACAGGCAGACGGAAGAGUUCGAAUAAGAGAGAAGCAGUCCUAUAGCUCAGUUGGUUAGAGCGCUACACUGAUAAUGUAGAGGUCGGCAGUUCAACUCUGCCUGGGACUACGGGGGAUUAGCUCAGCUGGCUAGAGCAC